rnacentral:tRNA from 14 species
GGGGUUGUAGCUCAGUUGGUAGAGCACCUGACUUUUAAUCAGGUUGUCGGGAGUUCGAGCCUCCUCAGCCUCAGCA